rnacentral:lncRNA from 1 species
CACAGAGUGUAAUUGGCCUUUCGGAAGAAAAAAGAAAACUAGGCACAUUUAUCCAUUUAUUUGAUUCUAGUGCCUGCUGGAAGCAGGCACUGCAAUUAAAGAGGAAAAGGAAGCAUGCAGAGAUGAAAACAGGGUUUCGCUCUGUCACUUAGGCUGGAGUGCAGUGGUGCAAUCAUAGCUCACUGCAGCCUCAACCUCCUGGGCUCAAGUGAUCCUCCCACCUCAGCCUCCCAAGUAGCUGGGACCACAGGCAUGCAUCACUGCACCUGGCUAACAAAUAACUUUCUAAUAGAGCAAUCUGAAGACUGGGCAAGCUUUCAAAGAGGAAGACUGUUUUUGUGCUUGAGAUGUUUGUGUAUAGUCUUGACAGAUGGGCCAGGUGCCUGAAGCAGAUAUGGAAAAUAAAUAUUGAAAUACAGAG